UCCAGACUCCUACGGGAGGCAGCAGUGGGGGAUAUUGCACAAUGGGGGGAACCCUGAUGCAGCGACGCCGCGUGGGUGAAGGAGCGUUUCGGCGCGUAAAGCCCUAUCGGCAGGGAAGAAGGAGGACGGUACCUGACUAAGAAGCCCCGGCUAACUACGUGCCAGCAGCCGCGGUAAUACGUAGGGGGCAAGCGUUAUCCGGAUUUACUGGGUGUAAAGGGGGCGCAGACGGCAGCGCAAGCCAGGAGUGAAAGCCCGGGGCCCAACCCCGGGACUGCUCUUGGAACUGCGCGGCUGGAGUGCAGGAGGGGCAGGCGGAAUUCCUGGUGUAGCGGUGAAAUGCGUAGAUAUCAGGAGGAACACCGGUGGCGAAGGCGGCCUGCUGGACUGCGACUGACGUUGAGGCCCGAAAGCGUGGGGAGCAAACAGGAUUAGAUACCCGUGUAAG
rnacentral:rRNA from 1 species